rnacentral:sRNA from 1 species
GGGAGAUGGCUGUUGAGAGGGUAGAGGUGAGGUGGGGAGCUAAGAAGGUAAGGAGGGUGGACGGAGGAAGGAUGUGAGUGAUAGAUGAGGAUGGGAACGAGGGAGGAAAAGAGGAUAGAAUGGAGGGAUCAAGGGCGAGUGAGGAAAGAGUGGACGAGGAAGAGGAGGGGAUGGCGUGGGAGAGACGGGCGAGGGCACGGGCGGUAGGAUCAGGAUCAGAGAGAACGUCAGGGGUAGGCGAUGGAUGUGAAGCGGUAAAGGCAAUUCGAAGAGGGUCGAAUGAUUCGAGAUGGGGUAGAUAAGGCUCAGCGAGUUUCCUGGCGAUGGGAUCUCUCAUUGUGCCAUUCCCUCUUCCAUUUCCAUUCUUGGAGAGUGCGAUAGCAAUGACGCUUAAUCUGGGGACAGUCCUUGCCAAAUAUUCUUGCGCAAUAAUGCUGUCCACGAUUUCGAGCUCCGCCGAGUUAAGCAGGUCGAGCAUCAUGUUCAGCCCUUCAUCAUCUUCAUCCUGAGCAAACUUUUCACCCAUUUCCAACAAUCUCGCCAGAUUACUUUUUUCCUCCCCUUUUUCGACUCUCAUCAAGUCAUCCUCCUUGACACUGGCACCUGGGUCAAUAAGACAUGCAAGAGCGGCUUUGCCUAAUGAGAGGCGCUGCCAUGCCGCAGCAUGCCUUGCAGAGGUGUCAGGCUCUAAGAGCGGGACAAAGGGGUGGUUGGUCGGUAAUAGAGGCACGACAGACGGAUGAAAAGCCCAUUUGUAGUUAUCCUUAAUUUUUGACGAGAACGUUGAUGUUGGUAUACGGAAGAGGUAUUCUAAAGCAUUAGGGCGCUCGAAUAGAGAAGGAAUUAUGCUGUGGUCCAAGUCUGAUAAUAGAUCUAGACAUUCAAGUGUUCUUGAUAUAAUUUCCGGUCGGGUAUAAGCGUUCAGCAGGUCAAUCAGGCAAUCUGGUGAAUCGCCUGCCCAGCGCCAAAGCCAAGAUGUAUCUUCUUUCUCCAAAG